CACGAACCGGACAAGCGUUAAUCGGAAUUACUGGGCGUAAAGCGCGCGUAGGUGACUUGAUAAGCCGGUUGUGAAAGCCCCGGGCUCAACCUGGGAACGGCAUCCGGAACUGUCAAGCUAGAGUACAGGAGAGGAAGGUAGAAUUCCCGGUGUAGCGGUGAAAUGCGUAGAGAUCGGGAGGAAUACCAGUGGCGAAGGCGGCCUUCUGGACUGAUACUGGCACUGAGGUGCGAAAGCGUGGGUAGCAAACAGG
rnacentral:misc_RNA from 1 species